UACGAGGGGGGCGAGCGUUGUUCGGAAUUAUUGGGCGUAAAGGGUGCGUAGGCGGUUUGGUAAGUCUUAUGUGAAAUCUAUGGGCUCAACUCAUAGUCUGCAUGAGAAACUGCCGGGCUUGAGUAUGGGAGAGGUGAGUGGAAUUCCUGGUGUAGCAGUGGAAUGCGCAGAUAUCAGGAGGAACACCGGUGGCGAAGGCGGGUCUCUGGGCCGUUACUGACGCUGAGGAGCGAAAGCGUGGGGAGCGAACAGG
rnacentral:rRNA from 1 species